GUGACCAUCAUCGCGUUGAAACACAGGUUCCCGUAUGAUCAUCAGCGUUAAGCAACGUCGAGCUUGGUCAGUACUUAGAUGGUUGACUGCUUUGGAAUACCAGGUGGUGUAAU